rnacentral:lncRNA from 1 species
AUGAGUUACAAAUUCUAUACAAUGCUGCAUUGAUUCUUCGCCAAAAGGUCCAAGAUAUACCAAAACUGAAUCUUCCUUGGCCACCAUUGGCAUCUGAUUUGACAAUAGAUAAUGUGCAAAAAGUGGUUCCAUGUGAACUUUUUAAUGUAUUGGCUUGGACUUGUGGAUUCUCUUCAGAGCCAACUUUAAGCUUUGUUAGUGAUGUUCCAACUACUCUUGCAUGGGAUAAUGCGUUUGGCCAAGGCUAUAUUUAAGCGAAAUAUUUAACCUGUUUCUUGAUUGUGUGAGUUGUAUGUAUAUUUAUAUAUUCUCCGUCCUGUUUGAUACAGGUGGGUUUUUUACCUCACAAAUUUUUAUUGAAUUAAGAUGUUAAUAAGUAGAAUUAUACGUUAAAACGGUAUUUUGAAACAAUAGCCAAUAAAUUGAAGUGAUUUAGCAUAUGAGCAAGCAAAAUGUACAAUGUGUUUUAACAAUA